rnacentral:lncRNA from 1 species
CCAGAAAUGCAGUGAUCAGGACUGUCCACAGUACUCAAGAUGUGUGGAGGAGCCUACUUAUCCAUCCCUUGAUGCCUGAAGUCUGAAAGAGAUAAUUGUGCGCCCACGUGGUUUGAGAAACUCCACAGUUUGGAAAGGCAAGAGUCAUUAGUGACAUGUGGUAUGGAAUAACCCUUUGGCCAGCUUAGGUCAACUGUCCUGGUUCUGUCCUCUCCAUCUCCUUGUACCUCCUCAGCCUCCUUCAGUGUCAGGAAAGUACAAGAAGCUGAAGCAUUUUGGGCACAACAACCCCAAGCAACCCUACGGACUUGAGGAGGAAUAGCUGGAAAGCUGCCUGACAGAAAGGGACCUUGUUGCACUGAUGGAUAGCCAGCUGAAUAUGAGCCAGCAGUGUGCCCAGGUGGCCAAUGUAUCAGGAACAGUGUGGUGAGCAGGAUUAAGGAAGUAAUCCUGCCCCUGUACUUGGCACUGGUGAGGUCCCACCUCAAGUACUGUGUUCAGUUUUGGGCACCUCAGUACAGAAAGGACAUGGAAGUGCUAGAGCAGGUCCAAAGAAGGGCAAGAAAGCUUGUGAAGUUCUUGAAGAACGUGCCCUACAAGGAGUGACUGAAGGAACUGGGGCUGUUUGGUCUGGGGAAAAGGAGGCUGAGGGGAGACCUUAUUGCUCUUUUCAAAUCACCUGAAAGGUGAUGUCAUGGUUUAUGAUUUUUGUUAUCUGUAUUCCACAUCAUAACAUCAUGUAAAGCAUGUGGAAUUAGAGAGUCAAUACUCCAGUUCUGUGGGCUGACAACUUUCCAGAUACCUGGUUCUCAGAAGAGAGGCAGAACUACAUAUCACAGAGCACUUCACAUUCAGAGGGGAAGAUGAGACCCACAAGUCACAAGACUCUCUCUCCCUCACUCCCUGACAGUGUGUAUGUGUGCACUCCCCAGACAUUUCACCUUCAGUUCAGCAUAUGGCCUUUUGUUUUGGGCACACUCUCAUUUUAUUUGAUUUAUUAGCCUCCACUCCAAUCACAUUGUGUUAUACUCUAUUACCUUGUAUUCUGAUAUAUUUAGUAAAAUUAACUUUCCUCUUCAGAUCAUUGCCACUGUUCUGCUCUUGGGCCCUUCUCCCUACCUUUCCCCCUCUCCCUUUUUGGGCCCAUGGGCCUGCAGGCCUGCUGUUCCCCCUGUCAUAGACACAGAUUGAUCUAGAUAACUGUGACAGGUGAUUGCAGCAAGAGUGGUACUGGUCUCUUCUCACUGGUGACGGGUGACAAGAUGAGGGGAAAUGGCCUCAAGUUGCACCAGGAUAAGAUUAGGUUGGAUAUCAGGAAAAACUUAUUUACAAAAAGGGUGGUUAAGCACUGGAAUAGGCUCCCCAGGGAGGUGAUUGAGUUAGCCUCCCUAAGUGUGUUUAAAAACCAUUCAGAUGUGGUGCUCAGGGACAUAAUUUAGAGUUUGGGUAAUAUGAUCACAUUGCAAUUAAUUAAAAUUGCUCGCUAAUGCCUGUACUGAUGCGAUGUUUGCUUUUGUUACCUAGAGUUCUCAAGAAACAAUGGUAAUGUUGCCUUGCAUGCAAGCCUAGAACUGUUCUGAAAAGCUAGGACUGUCAAAAAAAAAAAAAAGAAAAAAGAAAAGCAGCUAGCCAGAGCAGGGCUGCAGUCAUUUGAGAAACCCUAUCUGUGUUUUGCACAUAGGAUGGAAAAGAAAUAGGCUUCAGGCUGAAAUUAGAGGGCAGGGUCCCACACUUCAAGGCACAAUAGGAAGUUAAAUGCACACAUGGUACAUGAUUUUCCAUUGACUUGCUCUCGAUUGCUUUCAACUCACCAGCUGGAUGAUUAGGAGUGUUCUCAGCAGGUGGUUAAUUUCUUUGCAUGCCAUCUAUGGGUGGAUUUUAUGUCUAUGCCCAGGGAGGGGGGGGGGGGAGGAGGGGGUCUUUGUGUUCUUUAGGUACAACUGACACACUCUUGCUUUCACAACUGAUAGCAAUGCUUCAGAAGCAUAGUUCUGCCUGAGGUAAGAGGGGAUUUUUGAAGAACUAACCUGAGGAGGAUUGCAAAAUAAAUGCAGGGCAAUCAUUUUAAUUACAUACGAUGCUGCACAUGUCUUUCAAAGACUUCUGGAUAACACAAGUGCUAUCAGUCUACUCCUUCCAGAGACUUAUCUUUAAAGUCCGGUGAUAGAAAGUGAGACAGAUACUGCAGUUUCUCUAAAGAUAGUGCUUCUAAAAAAAAAAAAUCUUAGAGCUGCUAAUCUCUCAUGCUCUGCAUGCUGUGUGACCAGACAGGUGUUUUGUGAAGAACCCUUGGGGAAAGUCCACACUGAUAUAAAAAGGAAGAAGUUUUCAUUUCAUGAAUCACUAGAUUGGCAGUGAUCCAUUACAGCUUGUCACAGAUGUUAUGGAGCAAAACCAAGGUACUGCCCUGCAUUUUAUACCCCUGUGACUGGAAAAUUUGAACCCAGGGAUUUGCAAGUUGGGUGACUCUAGCUGUAAUCACCCACAGCAAUCUUAUUAACUAUUAAUAUCUUCAGCAUUUUGGACACUUUUUCUUAAAUGUCUUCGAAACUGGUUUUAGAUAUUAACCCUUUAAGAUUCUCCCAGUGUUAACUACUCUCUCCUGUCAGAGAAGUAUAAUGAUUUUGAGUAUCAUACAACAGCAUUAUUCAUGGAAUAAAUGCAGUAUCAAAUUGCUGUACUGAAGGAUUUGUGAGUUAAUCCCUGUACAGCGAUAAAGUAGCUCUCAGAUAUACACUGUAUACCAUAGAUACUAGAAAGCCUGGUAUUACUUUAUUAGUGAUAAUACUAGCCAGGGGACACAUUUGUGCCUCUCAUCAGGCUCAAGCCAGAAUUCCAUGAAUUUUCAGGAGAUACAAGUGGUGAAAACUGAGGUAGCUAAGAUGAUUGCAUUUCCUUACUCUUCCUGCCUCAGAAUAGUAAAGGACUAAAGGAAUGUCUUUAUGAAACAUAGAAAACAGCAUUCCUCCAGAAUGCAGAAUAUUAAUGUGGAUAAAGGAGGCUUUUUUCUAUCUUGGCAAUCAUUCUUCUUUCUUAGAGACUCCUCAGUGGAAGAAAUAUUUCCACAAGUUUUGAGGUAGCCAUAAUUGACUUUCUCUCACUAUUAUAUGUAUGGCUAUUGCAAGUUUUUACUGGGUAUUCUUUUAUUCCCUCCCAAAAUCUCUUCCUAAAGCUGUUGUGCCAGCCUCACAUUAGUAACUUGAAACACUUCCCUGAACUUUAAGGAUAAUGUUUUUGUAACCUAUUUGCAUAGCAUAAGGAUAGGUGGCAGCAGAUAUAGUUGCUUUAACCACUUCCGGAUCACCCAAGAAAAACAGUAGUCACAGUUCAGUAAAAAAGAAAAAAAAUCACUUACCCCUUUCCAAGAAUUAGAGCUUACUAAACACUCUAAAGAAGAUGAUCUCCAAGUAGAGAUACUUCCCUUGUGGCGACCAGACCUUAAAUAAGGUUAGGGAGUGGCAGACCCAGCGUUCACUCCUUUUGGCCACGCAUGUGAAUUGCUUCCACCUGUGCUCCCAGAGCUGGCUACGCCCCUUCACCAGGUGCUCAACCACUGCUUCAAGUCAUAACCUAACAUUUCCCAUACAUGAGAUAUUUGUACUAUGAGUUAAACAUAAAAUUAUCUUGUUUUAAAUGAAAUAAAUUCCUGAAUAAAUUGUAUAUAAAAAAUACUCCAUGUUG